rnacentral:rRNA from 1 species
AGAUUGAACGCUGCGGCAGGCCUAACACAUGCAAGUCGAACGGGUAACAGGAAGCAGCUUGCUGCUUCGCUGACGAGUGGCGGACGGGUGAGUAAUGUCUGGGGAGUCUGCCCGAUGAGGGGGAUAACCACUGAAACGGUGGCUAAUACCGCAUAACGUCGCAAGACCAAAGUGGGGGACCUUCGGGCCUCACACCAUCGGAUGAACCCAGAUGGGAUUAGCUAGUAGGUGGGGUAAUGGCUCACCUAGGCGACGAUCCCUAGCUGGUCUGAGAGGAUGACCAGCCACACUGGAACUGAGACACGGUCCAGACUCCUACGGGAGGCAGCAGUGGGGAAUAUUGCACAAUGGGCGCAAGCCUGAUGCAGCCAUGCCGCGUGUAUGAAGAAGGCCUUCGGGUUGUAAAGUACUUUCAGCGGGGAGGAAGGGAUGGCGCUUAAUACGCGCCGUCAUUGACGUUACCCGCAGAAGAAGCACCGGCCAACUCCGUG